CAGUAGCCGCGGUAAAACGGAGGGUGCAAGCGUUAAUCGGAAUUACUGGGCGUAAAGCGCACGCAGGCGGUCUGUCAAGUCAGAUGUGAAAUCCCCGGGCUUAACCUGGGAACUGCAUUUGAAACUGGCAGGCUAGAGUCUUGUAGAGGGGGGUAGAAUUCCAGGUGUAGCGGUGAAAUGCGUAGAGAUCUGGAGGAAUACCGGUGGCGAAGGCGGCCCCCUGGACAAAGACUGACGCUCAGGUGCGAAAGCGUGGGGAGCAAACAGGAUUAGAUACCCCGGUAGUCCCUGUCUCUUAUAA
rnacentral:rRNA from 1 species